AACACAUGCAAGUCGAGCGGUAACAGGAAUUAGCUUGCUAAUUUGCUGACGAGCGGCGGACGGGUGAGUAAUGCCUGGGAAAUUGCCCUGAUGUGGGGGAUAACCAUUGGAAACGAUGGCUAAUACCGCAUGAUGUCUACGGACCAAAGAGGGGGACCUUCGGGCCUCUCGCGUCAGGAUAUGCCCAGGUGGGAUUAGCUAGUUGGUGAGGUAAGGGCUCACCAAGGCGACGAUCCCUAGCUGGUCUGAGAGGAUGAUCAGCCACACUGGAACUGAGACACGGUCCAGACUCCUACGGGAGGCAGCAGUGGGGAAUAUUGCACAAUGGGCGCAAGCCUGAUGCAGCCAUGCCGCGUGUAUGAAGAAGGCCUUCGGGUUGUAAAGUACUUUCAGUUGUGAGGAAGGCAGUUGCGUUAAUAGCGUAAUUGUUUGACGUUAGCAACAGAAGAAGCACCGGCUAACUCCGUGCCAGCAGCCGCGGUAAUACGGAGGGUGCGAGCGUUAAUCGGAAUUACUGGGCGUAAAGCGCAUGCAGGUGGUCUGCUAAGUCAGAUGUGAAAGCCCCGGGCUUAACCCGGGAUGGUCAUUUGAAACUGGCAGGCUAGAGUACUGUAGAGGGGGGUAGAAUUUC
rnacentral:rRNA from 1 species